rnacentral:lncRNA from 1 species
CACCCCUCUUGCAUAAUCCUUCACAUUUUUUUGGAAUAUAAUUUCAUCCGAUCUUCCAGUUACACACACACUCAAAAUUCUGCUAUAAACUAUCAUUAGGAUUGUACUGGAUAUACUGAUUUAUUUAGAGGCGAAUUGAUGCCAUUGAAAAAAUUGAUCUUCCUCUUAAGAAAAAUGUAGUAUUUUAAAAUAUUAUGUGACUAUUCAAACUGAAGGCUCAUAAAAAGUGGCAUGUGUGUUUUCCUUGUAUUUACCUUCAUUAUUUUUCUAGGUGUUUCAUAACGUUUGCAACCAAUGUAAAUGGGAUAGCUUAAAUCUAUGAUAUUCCCUAUUUAUUGGAAGACUGUGCAAAUUUUUAAUUUAUUUAUGUAUUCAUUUAUUUUUAUUGUAGAGAUGGGGUCUCCUUAUGUUGCCCAGGCUGGUCUUGAACUCCUGGGCUCAAGCGCUCCACCCCGCUCAGCCUUCCAAAGUGCUGGGAUUAUAGGCGAGAGCCACUGUGCCUCACCUAGUAUGCAAAGUUUUUACGCAUUUAACUUCUAUCAAUCAGCCUCUCCUGACCUAUUUCCUAGGUGAUUGCCUUGGAUUUCUAGGAUGUCAGUUCCUUAAGAGAAAGAUAGUUUUCCACUUUCUUUGUUAACAAAAUACACCGAUAAGUUAUCUUCCCUCUCCAAAUUGUUUAGGACAAUGAAUAUGGCCUCAGGGUCUUUACACGGUUCUAUGUGGCCAGGAGAAAACCUGCGGGACUGAGCGUUCCUUCCCUGCCACUCAAGAAAGGGAGUGUGUGACCUUUCUAGAUCAGAGACUUGGAAGGGAAUAUGGCUUGAGACAUAUGAGUAUGUCUCAAGGAACUGGUCCAGUUUUAGCAUAAGAUUUUCCAAAGCAUUAAAAGCCCACCUGCAUCCCAGGUCCACAGAAUAAAGGUGUGAAGCUGCACUGCAUUGAGCUUUGGGAGGGGCUCCACUGCACUGAGCUUUGGGAGGGUUUAGAUAAGUGUGGGAGACACAGCAAUGUUUAAUUGCAGUGUUCAAUUUCUGCAACUAAACACUCCAUUUACAUGAAUUGUGUAUUAUAGGAGGAGUACUUGCAGAGUCAUGACCAAAGAUGGAUGCAAGAUUGAGAAGCAGGUAGGAAGUUUGACCUGGAACUAAUUCCUGGAUUGGAACAUGGCGGACAAAGUUGCUGAUCACUACCCAGGGGACAAGGCAAGAUGCAAUGGGUGCUGUUUAUUUACAGAAAGGAGAAAUUUUAAUGGAUUUUAUACAAGCCAGGAACAAGCUCUGAGGCCAGGGUAGUUGAGGGUUCUGUCUAGGAAGGAGACAUGCAGAUGGCACCCAGCCACAGGAUAUACCCACCUCCUCUCCCAGCAACUUCCACUCACCUUAUUCAGGCUUGAACCAGAAGGAAGCCAGGCAUGGUGGCCAGUGUUUGAAUCUUGCAGACUGUUGGCACUAGGUUCUGAGGACAAUUGUGAGUCACCAUAGUGACUAUGACUUCACUUGGUGCUGAACCAAUCAGGCCCUGGGACUCAAGGAAAGAGAGGGAGUGCCAAGCUGUUACUGUUUACCCUCUGGCCCAGAUCUUUCUUCAGAAGAAACCUGAGUGGUCUCACAGGUAAAAUAUCCUGAUAUACCAAGAUCAUAGAGCAUCCUUUUGUGCCAUUAACUAACUAACCUACCUGAUAAACCCCAACCCUGUUUGGUAAUGGGGGGAGGUUAUCAAAGAGUCAUUUGUUCAAACUGAUACAGAGACACUACAGAGCAGUGGGUAAAAGCAGAAGCUUCAGAUACAGGCUUUCUCAGUUCCAAUCUCACCUCUCUGUCACUUGGGCAAGUCUUUUAGUCUCUCUUGGGAGGUCAAAAUAGAGAACACAGUGAGCAUCCACCCCUAGCCUUGGCACUGUGCUAGAUUCAAAUGAAAUGCAGAACUGGGUUUUUGGGGAUGAGGCAGGGCCAGGCAUCAGAGGUGAGUACAAUCUUUAAGCCACUGUGAUUACGUUCCCAGGAUGGAAAAUCAGCAGGAUGGACCUUAGAAACAGAAACUCGGUAGUACUUGAGAAUGUCCAGUUUAUCUCUUACACAGGGGUUUGGAGUAAGAUUCAUACCUGCUUCACCAGUGAUUUUCAAAGGAGGCAAAUCCUAUUUGAAGCUAAAGUCACAUAAAGAGAUUUGGAAUGAGGAAACAAAUUAUAGCAGCCUGCAAGUUGUAGAAUGAAGAAAUGCAAAUGUAAAGUACUGAACUUUGUCAUGGAUAGAUUUACCAAAGAGAAUUACUCUGCAUAACAUGAAUAAUGGAGUUCAGAAGGAAGCCCAUAUCCCAGGUACAGGGAAAACUCAGAGGUGAGAAGAGGCAGCUCUGAAAAAGAGCAACAUAGAAUUGAGUUAAAAUUAGUGUGGAUAUAAGAAUUACAAUGACAUUUGAGCUAUGAGGUAGUGUUUUGAGUACAAUCUAACAAGCCUGUGUGUGUCAGGUAAUGAUUAGAGGGAUGCAAUAGUGUGUCUUUAAUGUCCCGGGUCCCAUCAGGCUGCUGCACAGCCCCAUGUGUAAGACAGAUAGAAGAAACAAUAUGGUUGGUGCUUCAAAUCAGAUGAUGACCCAAAGCAAUCUCCUGUGACUACUGCUGGUAGCAGUGUGUGUGUGUAUGGGGGUGUGUGUGUGUGUGUGUGUGUGUGUGUGGUUUUGUGCCAGUGAGGAAGAGGUUGCCGGGUACACUUGAUUACCUAGAAUACAUCAUCUUUUUCAGACUUCCUCGGUUGUGCUGUUUUACUGAGGUUGGGUGGAGUCAACACAUCAUGGAUAAAGAAGUCCCUAAAGGCAGUCCCAGGGAGCCCGCACUGAACAUCAAGAAGUCAGACAAAUCCUUCAAACGCAAGAAGCCCACCGAAAAUGUGCUGAUCUUUUUAAUCAACAGACAACUGGGCAGGCACAGAAGUGACAUCGACCUGUCAAGAUGGGUGUGGAUGCUGUCAUAAAGCAACUCUAGGGUGGACAUGGCCUUGGACAAAAAGUCAUGUGGCUUACGUGCUGAAGCCUGCCCAUAUUUUUGAGAAAUUAAAUAUAAUUAGAACAAUAAACUCCUCCCAUGUUUGAGUCAUUAAAACAGAGUCUGUCAUUUCACUCCUUGAGGUUGGAUGUGUGUUUGCUGACAGGGUGUUCUUGGGUUACACUGGAAGGGGCUUCUGUUCAUCCUAACACGCUGUGCAGGGGUGCUUAGACCCAGGGGAGAGGGUGAGAUCAUGCUGCACACCAGAUCUCUCCCACCAUCAAUCUGAAAAACACUGCAAAGUCAAAGUGAUGUAGUACUUGGCAUUUAAGGACCAAAGACUCUUCUCCCUAGCCAUUUUGAAGAGACUGCCCUGGUGUUCCCCUCUAAAACCCAAUGCUUGUCCUAGUGAAAAGACAUUGUUUAAGAGCAGACCAACAGUUGGCCUGGGGGUUUGGGAUAUGUUUUAAUACUGCCAAUGUCAUAUCCACAGAGCCUUCCAGAGGCAACCGCUCUGCCCUUUGUCCCCAGGAAAGUAUAGAAUGCUCUGGUCACUUUUUUGUGUCAUGUCAAACAAACCUGCUCAGGCCACAGCCAAAGAUAAUUCAUUUGACUGAAAUGAAGCCACCUGGUAGGACAACAACACACAUGAGAUGGCUCCCAUUGAAGAAGCUCUGUCCCCAAGGAAUGUGCUGAGCAAGUCAGAUACUCAUUCUGAGAAACCUGAAAUGGGAACUAUGUGGGCAAUUGGUCACUGACAAGUGAGAGUUAAAGCUGAAGAGGGGACAGGGAGAGCAAAGAGGUCAGAGCCGUGGCAAACAUGGGCAAGCCUAAGUGAGGAGUAAGAUGAAAUUUACAUAAGGUGAACCAUUAAAGCCAUCACAGAUUCCAAGCAUUUCUCUUGUCCUUUCACGUGAGCUGCAAAAUAAGCCCCUGCAAGCAGUCCUCUGUCCCCUCUUCCCCUCCUCCCCAAUUCCCUGUGUUCUCACAACCUGUCCAGCAUUCCCCAAGGCCCCUUCCUGUGUCCCCUCCCCCGCCUACAUCUAAGGGGCUGUUACUCUCUCUUCCCUUAGCCAGGUCUCUUCCAGAUUUUUUAUGUGGUACGAAGUUAAACUGCUCUAUGUCCUUUUCACUGUCCUCUUUGUCCCUGUCACCUUCUCUGUCCCUGCACUGAUGCAGCAUCGCCAAAAAAGAGCCACCAGCCUCUCCUCAGAGGACGCAGCUGGCUGUAGGAUGGAGAGGAGGGGUUAGAGGCUGCCAGGUAGAGGGGCCUCCUGGGUGCACCGUUGGGAGGAACGCUGCCUGGACACUGCUAUGUCGGUGACUAUUUACCUGCAGCCCAGCAUCAAACAGUGGCUGUGAGGUGGAGAAUAGGUGGGGAAUGGAGGCUGAAAGGGCAGCAGGUAGGGCAAGAAGGAGCCAAACCCACAGGAGCAGAGGCCAAUAACAGCCAACCUCCUACACUCCAUGGCCACACAACAGAAGAGACAGAAUUUAGGAUACAGAGUUAUGUGUGGAUAAAUCUCACCAUCAUACUGAGUGAGAAAACAAGUAGCACAGAAUUAUGUACCAAAGAGAAACCCAACUGUGCCAAGCAGUACUUGGGUAUAUACAUAGACAGUAAAGUUAUCCAAACUAGAGCAGCAGCACAUUCAAGUGGAACUCUGUCCACUUUCCGACUUGACUAGUGCCCCAAAACAAUUGGUACCAACUAUUUCCCAUCUUGCAAGGAGUUGCCUAACAAUGGAGGCCUGGUAAAGAAGGUAAUCACAAUCAUGUGACCUCUGACCACUCACUCACCUACAGGUGUCUACUCACACUGGAAGUCUGGGUGGGUUGGAGACCAGAGAGGCAUGCUUCCCAGGGAUUGGAGGCUGUGCCGAGUUUAAACGAGGAAAACUUCCUACACUUCAAAUUCACUGGAAGGUUGGGGCUACUCAGUGUUCACCUAGAGAACUUGACUUUUGUUUCCAGAAGUGACACUCACAAGGAAGAAAUUCAGGAGGAAAGUGGCUGUAGGAGAGGGAGAGAAGAUUUGGCCAAAAUUCCUCUGAAGAGAUUUUUCUCAGGAGAUCUUAGUGGCGGCCAAAUGUAACCUUCUCGGGACGGGGAAGGGGGUGGGAAUCUGGAUGCAGCUGACUCACAGGAAUCAGAGGCUGACUGGAGACCAUGCACACAGUGUCAGGAGACACUCUCUUCUUCUACUCUUUCAUUUCUAGCUGCUGCCUCUCAUUGCUCAAAUCACUAACCAGACAGCCAGGAAGCCAAGGUGAUGUCUUCCAUGGUAUCAGCCUUCUGGAACACACAGCCCUGCAGAGAAGCAUAUAUCUAGUUGGACAAACUGAGAAGAAUCAAAUCAAUUCACCACUUUUUUCUACUUCCAUUACUGUUCCACCACUGUUGCUUUAAUCAGAGGA